CCUACGGGUGGCAGCAGUGAGGAAUAUUGGUCAAUGGGCGCAAGCCUGAACCAGCCAAGUAGCGUGCAGGAUGACGGCCCUACGGGUUGUAAACUGCUUUUAUACGGGAAUAACGCGCCUUACGUGUGGGGCUUUGCAUGUACCGUAUGAAUAAGCACCGGCUAAUUCCGUGCCAGCAGCCGCGGUAAUACGGAAGGUCCGGGCGUUAUCCGGAUUUAUUGGGUUUAAAGGGAGCGUAGGCCGCAUGUCAAGCGUGCUGUGAAAUGUCCGGGCUCAACCCGGGCCUUGCAGCGCGAACUGGCGUGCUUGAGUGAGCGGAAAGCAGGCGGAAUUCGUGGUGUAGCGGUGAAAUGCUUAGAUAUGACGAAGAACCCCGAUUGCGAAGGCAGCAUGCUGGAGCGGAACUGACGCUGAUGCUCGAAAGCGCGGGUAUCGAACAGGAUUAGAUACCCGUGUAGUC
rnacentral:rRNA from 1 species